rnacentral:misc_RNA from 1 species
UACAGAAGCCCCAAGCAUUACCCGGAUUUACUGGGCGUAAAGGGUGCGUAGGCGGUUAUAUUAGUCUUGUGUUAAAUAUUCGGGCUUAACCUGAAUGCUGCAUAGGAAACGGUAUAACUUGAAGGAGUCAGAGGUCUAGAGAACUCUCGGUGUAGGGGUGAAAUCCGUUGAUAUCGAGGGGAAUACCAAAUGCGAAGGCACUGGACUGGGGCUUUCUUGACGCUGAGGCACGAAAGCGUGGGUAGCGAACGGG